CUUGAGCUGGUGGCUGGGGCUCGGGCCCGGGAGGGGGAGUGGGUGGAACUGUAGGUGCAGGUGCUUGAGGCCUUCAGCUUCCUAGCCCUUCUCAUCCCUUUUCCUUAUCGGGGCAAGGUUGCUGGAUCUCUUUAUUUUUCUGUCCAAAAAAUGAAUGUAACAGCUUUUUCUUCUCGAGGAAUGCGUGAGAGAAGGAGGCGAUAUCAUGAAAUGACCUGAGAGACGGAGGGGAGCUUGAAAGCGCAUCCAGUUGUCUCUUCCUUACGAGCACCCCGUGCCCUUUUUCCUUAUUUUACCGAUAAGAACAUUUUAGCCCCAGACUGGGGAGUUACUUGCUUAAAGUGGAUCCUGUAGUAAAGCCUUAAACGAUCUUUUUCACCUAAGUACGAAAAUUGUCUUUAAAAUGAUAUGUGAUUCAUUUUUCCAGCAACUGCCGAGGGUCCAUUUUUCUCCAUUUAACAGGAAAAACCUCAGACAGAGUCUCACUUUACCGCCCUCUGUAGAGUGCCAUGAUGUCACAGGACUCCCAACAACCUCCAGCUCUUGGGCUUCUGCGAUUCUCCUGCCUCAGCCUCCCGAGCAGCUGGGAACUACAGUCUGAAUGAAUGCACAGCAAGUAUCCAGAUUUCCACCAGUGAAGAGGGAGCUCAUGUUUGCUCAUCUAACUUAGAUUCCUAGACGGACCUAAGGAAGAAUAUUAAAAUUAAACCAAGGGUUUUGAAAUACAUA